rnacentral:rRNA from 1 species
GAUGAACGCUGGCGGCGUGCCUAAUACAUGCAAGUCGAGCGAACGGACGAGAAGCUUGCUUCUCUGAUGUUAGCGGCGGACGGGUGAGUAACACGUGGAUAACCUACCUAUAAGACUGGGAUAACUUCGGGAAACCGGAGCUAAUACCGGAUAAUAUUUUGAACGGCAUGGUUCAAAAGUGAAAGACGGUCUUGCUGUCACUUAUAGAUGGAUCCGCGCUGCAUUAGCUAGUUGGUAAGGUAACGGCUUACCAAGGCAACGAUGCAUAGCCGACCUGAGAGGGUGAUCGGCCACACUGGAACUGAGACACGGUCCAGACUCCUACGGGAGGCAGCAGUAGGGAAUCUUCCGCAAUGGGCGAAAGCCUGACGGAGCAACGCCGCGUGAGUGAUGAAGGUCUUCGGAUCGUAAAACUCUGUUAUUAGGGAAGAACAUAUGUGUAAGUAACUGUGCACAUCUUGACGGUACCUAAUCAGAAAGCCACGGCUAACUACGU